rnacentral:lncRNA from 1 species
GAAGCCGGAAUGGAGGCUGGAGGGAGUUUGAUAUGCUAUUGCUCAUUGUUGUUGCAAUAUUGAGGAUUUGCAAGUUUGCAACUUUAUGUUUUGCUCGUAUAAGUUUAUUUUACGUUGUUAGUCACAAGUCCGAACAAAAGAAAAAUAUGAGGGUAUUAGGUAGUCGACAGCUGACACUCCAACUUCAUAUCGAAUCCCUAUGAUGAACUUUCGCAUUCAAACAUUUCAUUGCCAGCAAAGACAAUUCAUACUCCAAUACUAAGUACUACAGGACAGCAAAGGCAAUUCUCUUCUCUUUGAAUAAUCUAAGGUACGGGUUUAUGGCCAUGUACCCUAAUUAAUUUGACUAACCAAUACGUGUUGAAGUUUGACAUUGGAGUUACUUACGCUAGUGUCGUUUCUGCAGCACUCUCCCGACGUAUCUUCUAAUUAUGUAUGAACAAUUUCUAAGUUCAUAGUUUUGAUUGUAGCUAGCUCAGAACUCAAGCCUGAUCCAAGAUUCGUUUUAUGGCUUCUUUUCUAUUGACAGGCCUGGCCUAGGUCCAGUGCUGGCUGGGCGACCGUCCGGGGCACCAAAAUUAUUUUGAGUGUUAUAUUCAUAUAUAAUUUCAUAAAAGUAUAAAUUUAUAAAAUUUGGUUAAAUGACCAAGAAGUUUAACUAGAACUAGUGGUUUAUGUUGUUAAAAAUUAACAAGGAGGUCUCGGGUUUAAAUAAACAAGGCGGUCUGGUUUAUGCUGCUUGAAAUUAGAGUUUUUUUCUUAUUUGUUUUUGCAGCUCUCAUUGAAUCUUCUAGCCUAAACUUGUGUGGGUCUCCCGUUGUAUCUCGAGUUGUAGCUUUUAUCUUGCUUGAGGCUUUUACUUUAUCUGUUGUUGUUUAACUGGUUCUUUUUGGCCUUGUACUAGCUUUUAAUGGAAUGAAAGCUCUCUUGCUUGACAAAAAAUAAAAAAUCAUAGUGGUAUUGUUGACCCUAGAAAUUACAAAGCCU